rnacentral:rRNA from 1 species
ACUACUAUGUAGAGUUUGAUCCUGGCUCAGAUUGAACGCUGGCGGCAUGCCUUACACAUGCAAGUCGAACGGCAGCGCGGGAGCAAUCCUGGCGGCGAGUGGCGAACGGGUGAGUAAUACAUCGGAACGUGCCCAAUCGUGGGGGAUAACGCAGCGAAAGCUGUGCUAAUACCGCAUAAGAUCUAUGGAUGAAAGCAGGGGAUCGUAAGACCUUGCGCGAAUGGAGCGGCCGAUGGCAGAUUAGGUAGUUGGUGAGGUAAAGGCUCACCAAGCCUUCGAUCUGUAGCUGGUCUGAGAGGACGACCAGCCACACUGGGACUGAGACACGGCCCAGACUCCUACGGGAGGCAGCAGUGGGGAAUUUUGGACAAUGGGCGCAAGCCUGAUCCAGCCAUGCCGCGUGCAGGAUGAAGGCCUUCGGGUUGUAAACUGCUUUUGUACGGAACGAAAAGUCUCUUUCUAAUAAAGAGGGAUCAUGACGGUACCGUAAGAAUAAGCACCGGCUAACUACGUGCCAGCAGCAGCCGCGGUAAU